rnacentral:lncRNA from 1 species
GUAAUGAUGAAUUGGAUGCUGUAAAAAAGAAAUGGAAGAAGGCAUUGAAUUUAGAUGAAGAGGUAUAUCCAAGCACUUCACAUGAUACUCAUCCAUAUAUUUCAAGUAAGAAGGCUGCUCAGAAAGACAACAAGAAACCUUCAAAUGAUUUACAUAAUAAAUGUAUUACCAUCGUCUCUUCACAUGAGAUGACAUCUCAAACAGUCUCAAACACUUCAGGAUACAAGUAUGAUAGGCCUGUGUUGACAAGAUCUGAAAGAUUCAAGAUUUAUCAGAAAUAUCUUGGUCCAAUGAUCGUCGACCCUUCUAAUGGGAAGAAGACAUUUCAUGCUAAUAAGAAACAAUUAAAUCAUAAUUUGGAUAACAGUUGUAAAAAAGUAGAGGCUAAAAGAAAGAAAGAAGGUACAUGCAGAAAGAGAUGUUUGUUGAGGAGAUUCUGUAAGAGGGUUAAUGACUUCUUCCAAAUUAGGAAGUCAUAAUUUUCCUUGGAUGCAUUUUGGAUUGGAUUGGAUUGCUU